GACAGAGGGUGCAAACGUUGCUCGGAAUUACUGGGCGUAAAGCGCGUGUAGGCUGACAUGCAAGUCGGGUGUGAAAUCCCAGGGCUCAACCUUGGAACUGCACUCGAAACUGCACGUCUUGAGUACUGGAGAGGGAAGCGGAAUUCCGGGUGUAGAGGUGAAAUUCGUAGAUAUCCGGAGGAACACCAGUGGCGAAGGCGGCUUCCUGGACAGUAACUGACGCUGAGACGCGAAAGCGUGGGGAGCAAACAGG
rnacentral:rRNA from 1 species